UACAGAGGGUGCGAGCGUUAAUCGGAAUUACUGGGCGUAAAGGGCGCGUAGGCGGCUUGAUAAGUGAGGUGUGAAAGGCUUGGGCUUAACCUGGGCAUAGCAUUUUAGACUGUUGAGCUGGAGUAGUGUAGAGGGAAGCGGAAUUUCCGGUGUAGCGGUGAAAUGCGUAGAUAUCGGAAAGAACACCGGUGGCGAAGGCGGCUUCCUGGACUUAUACUGACGCUGAGGCGCGAAAGCAUGGGUAGCAAACAGG
rnacentral:rRNA from 1 species